GUACAUGCCUACAACAUAGCAUUAAUGCAUUAGAUCAAAUUAGAACUCCACAGUUAAGCGUGCUCGAGCUAGAGUAGUAUUGGGAUGGGUGAUUGCCCAUGAAUUCCUAGUGUUUUAUAUA
rfam:Picea glauca, whole genome shotgun sequence.